GAGAAAGAUGUUGGUUAUCAGAAGUCAUUUCACUAUCGGAAUUGCCAGUGACUCAGAAGUCUUCACAGACAGCUCUACCAAGUUAUCAUUAGGUCACUUCUUCAAAGGUCCCUCAGAAGUCCGCUCCUUCAGUAAAGACUCGCUCUUCAAACCCACUGUCGCAAUCACAGCCCAGUUCUCCAGACUGGCCCAACGGGAAAGACUGAGCUUGAUGGCGAAAUUCCAUCUCUGAGCGAGAGUGUUGUUAUUUUAACCAGAGGAAGGAACUGUAUAAUUGCGGUCUUCGGCAGCUGCACUUUGUGUCUGUGAUGCUCUGUCCAUCCCAACAAUCCCUAAUGGAACCGGGGAGACUGGAGUCAGGCUCCGUUCCAGAAGUUCACGAGCAGCCUGAGGAGUGAUGUGGCCAGAAGAGCUCUGUCCAAACGGGGGACGCUAACUCGGUCAGAAUCUCCUGUGUGGGUUUGCUGACAGUCAUUCUCUGGUUCUGGAAUCCUUCCUAUAAAACACAGAUGGACGGAAUGAAUACAAAGGUGAUGAUAUAAGAAAAAAUAGCCACCUGCAACCCUGAAGAGGCCCCUCACCAGAACCCAAUCCUGCCAGCUCUCUGUCUCUGACUUCCAGCCUCAGAACUCUGAGAAGUAGCUGCUGGUCCUCAGUGAGAAGUGGGAGCUGACCUAAUCAGGACUUCUUAUCCACACCUGCAUGUACUUUUUCCCUUACACCAACUUGAGUUCAUGAGGAAUCAGAGGUUUCGCUGUGACUUAGAAUAUCCCCUCUUAUUCUAGAGACUAAAACUUAAAGGAACAUAUUUGUGUCUAAGUGUGUAAAAGGUUAAA